GAUUCAUCUACUCCGGACCAUUUAUCAAGUGAUACAAGCACCUAUUAUAAUGAAGGUGGCACAAUGACAAACAUGGAUACAGAACAUUAUCAAAACAUCAACAGACAUAACGAAGCUGCUCAUUUUCAGGACGGAGAUCCCCCUGUGUAUAUAGAUUUGAACAUUUAAUAUAUUUUAACUGUUAUUUCAACGAUCAUAACGAAAUAAAGUUCAUUGUCUAACAUAGCGGACGAUUAAAUCAGAAGGAUAUACCCCAGCACAACCUAGUUAUCAUGAGUAUGUAACUAUGCAGAC